CCCCUAGAUGUUCUGGGCCGCACGCGCGCUACACUGAACAGUUCAACAAGUCUUAACCUUGGCCGAUAGGUCUGGGUAAUCUUUGAACGCUGUUCGUGAUUGGGAUAGACCUUUGCAAUUAUGGGUCUUCAACGAGGAAUUCCUAGUAAACGCAAGUCAUCAGCUUGCAUUGAUUACGUCCCUGCCCUUUGUACACACCGCCCGUCGCACCUACCGAUUGAAUGGUCCGGUGAAAUCUCGGGACGGCGGCUUGGUCGCUUGCGUCCGACUGCUGAAACUUGAUUAAACCAUNUNAUUUAGNGGAGGGUGAANUCGUANCA
rnacentral:rRNA from 1 species